GAAGCCCAACACUCCUCGCACUUCAGCGAGUGCAACUAGUUGCCUCUCAGGCACAGGCACGUAGAAAGUUGCCCUGGCAAGGGACGGGACUUUGCUAAGAAAAGCAACCGACACUGUAAGGGAACCCUGACUUUUGGGGAAGGUUGGGAGUAUCUCAAUGAUCAAGCACGAUCAAGCGCUGCACGACGACGGGACCUGCUGCUGUACCCUUUGGUAGGAUGCGUUUGUCUCCAUCCUCUCCAGCUGGUCAGCAGGGAGGGAGACAAAGUCCUUUCCCGCUUUGAAACUGAACGCUCUUUUCUGCUGGAUAUUCAGCAGCUGCGUUUGGUCCUCUUUGCUACCUAGCGUGGGGAAGCGGAAGAAAAUCCAUCGUUGCUUAGUCACGUUUCAUACUCUUACCCUUCACCUUGUGUUAUCUCCUGAGUAUUAUUUCACUGAGUGGGUUGGGUGGGCCUUGUUCAGCCAGCUGCAUCACCCUCCUUCUAGCAAGUUAACUUCACUCUCCAAAGGGUGUAAGUCAGAAGUUCAAAAGAGGAGGCAAGAGUUAGGCCUUCUAUCUGGAGAGAGAUGUGAGAGAAGAGUCUUGGUUUUCAGAAGUACUGAAUGUCAGAAGCUUUUGAGGUCAGUAAGUUACAUGAAAUGAGGAAAACAAAGUAUGGAUAUUUGAAGAUUCUUUCCUACCUGCCUUCUGUUUGCUUACUUUGCAUCCAUUGAUGCUAUUUGAAGCGUAAGUUUGCUCAAGCUGUCUGCCUAUGAAUUUCAUAAUUUGCAUUCAACGAAUUGUACUAACAUGGUCAUCUUUCUCCUAAAUAAUUUCAGACUUAAGAUGACUAAAUCUUCAUGAAAACAAGUCUAUAAAAACCCUGUAUUUGCUGUCUUGGGAGAGUCGCCACUCCGAAAGAGAACAGACUUGGAAAACUCUUUUGACCUACACAAAUACAGCUAGAAAAACAUUUAAACUAAAAAAGCCCCCGAAAGCUAGCCUUCAAAUUGACAUAGUGUAGGACAAGCCAGAAAUAUGAAGUGAAUUUUGAAACUGAGAGUUUAGAGAGUAACUGGCGGGGGGGGGGGCGGGGCAACUGAGAUUUGCAGGAAAUAAUUGCGAUUGACAACCCUGCCGCAGAGUAACUGUCAUGACUUAACGCCAGCACCCGUCUUGCUAACGGGCUUCUUCUGUAGGGAAAUGUGCUAACAACUCCUUCCUUUUGAGAGGACUUUUGUGACCGGCAGUGGUCUAACGUGAGGUACUCAAACACGAUAAUGAAGAUUUUCUGAAGUCUGGUUUCCUUCCACUUCAGUGAAGCAAAUUCCAGUUAUGGGGAACAGUCCCUUAGUAACAUGGGUUGUUUUAAUAGACAUACCACUUUAAAGCAAGCGUUUAACCAUCUGUUACACCCUCUCUUAAAAUGUAAGAUACAGCUGACUUGAAAAGGUUAUGUAUGAUCUUUGUUCGAUGUAACGUUUCAAUUUGAGGAGGGAUGGGAGAAUCGCACUGCUGUUACAUGAUAUGGACCCAGGGCAAGUCUGCCAUUAAGGGGCCUGGCCUUGCUGUCAUUGAACCACGUUGCUAUUUUGCUGUUGAUUUUGGUGAGAGUGGGCAGGGUCAUGCACAGAACUAAUGAGCGUUUGGCCUGGGUCACGUGUACAGAAGGAAGUCCUACAGAAACUGAUCUCGUAACCAAACACUAAUUUUUCUCAGUGAUUUAUUGUGAAUAUGACUUUCACAGGUAGGAAUUAAAUGAUUACUUUGGUUACAUCGGUGUCUUUGGGCUGAACUAAAUUCCAGUGAGCUCAGGGGAAGUGAUUUCAGAAGGCGGCAAAUCCAAAAUCUAGUACAAUAUACUGAGUCAUAUAAAUGACUUUGUGUGACCAUAUAGAGCCCCGCAUGGAGAAGGUCAUGCUAGAAAUAGUCCUAACAGAACCCAAGGAAGGGCUGUAGGAUCCACUUUUACACAAGAAUAGAAGAAUAAUACCUUAUCCAUUUAAAGCAACAGGGGAAUGUAAGUAGGCAGGAUGUAAUUAUCUAGAUUGGUAUUUGGCCAGGCACUCCUACACUUGCAAAAACUGCCAUAGGGUGUUUAAUGACCGCAAGUGCUCGGUAUCCUUGGUUUUACCUCUUAUAUAAAGACAGCACUUGUGAUCGUAUACUUUAUGCUGGUUCAGUACUGAGUCAGCAGAAGAAUGUUGCCCUGCACAAAUACCAGUUCAUAAAGUAACUUGGAAUUUCCUUGGAAGUCUUCCAUGCAAAUACUAUAGACCCAACCCUACUUACCUUGUGAAAUCUAAUGAGAUUGCAGCCAUAAGUAGUAUGGUUCCAGAUAAUCAUGUUUGCAUAUGUUACUACUAACAAUAGGGGCUUUAGAAUCUUUAAAAAUAAUUUUGAAAUGAAAUCAAUAUACUUUUACAUUGCAUGUCAGUGACAAAAAGGUUUUGUUGUUGUUGUUGUUGUUUAAGCAAAGGGAUUAUACUUAGUUAUUCUGAGAAAAUCUAAUGACAGACAGCCACUAUUUUGGCAAUGUAUCAUUAGUAUGAUUUAUUGAAGUGCCUACCAUAUGCCGCAUCCAGCUUAGGUACCUAAUGUAAAUUUUGUUUUACAAAAGCAGGGCUUUGAAAUAUGGUUUUUUAUUUUCAGGUUCAAGUAUGAAAUCCAAAAGUUGUGUUAAUUAGGCAAAGUUUGUUGAUCUGUAUAGUUAAGGUUAUUAUUGAUGCUUCAUGGCUUUAUAGUCAUAAAAAGAAAGAAUGAAUGGGGGUUCUUUUGCCCUGGUUAUCAGAUUUCAGGUUUAAAAAGAAGGUGACCCACCCUUUUCAGUAAUUCGACAUGCAGGGUUCAGCUGUGGGUUCAAAAGCAGGUUACGACUGGCUAGUCAUUGUGAUCUGGAAGUGCCAACUGUGCCUUUAAGUAUGUUAUAUAACCUAUUUUUUGGUUUCAGUUUUCAAGUAUGCCAUCAUUUGAGUGUUAUUUAGAUUUCCGUAUAUUUUUUUAAUCCAAACAAAUCUGACCUCAAUCAUAAGGUUCCAUGGCUCCAAGUAGCUGAGCUUUUCUAAUAUUUUAUUUUGAGUGCCUACAUUCAAUACUUCAUCACAUAGAUAUGUGCUGCGGACAGUGCCAAAUACGGUGCCGGGGGUGUCCUCAAUUAUCUUCAGUGCUUACCAGGAGAGGGCUCUGUUCUGCAUCCCAUACACAGGGAAAAGCCCCCCUGAAAUUAGUGCAAGUUUUGUCUUUAAAGCUUGCUUGAAACGAAGCUGGCUAAGUGCAGAGGAAAACCCGCAUUUUUCGGCUGGCUGUGCCGGCAGAGUGAGGUGUGCUUGGUAAUUUAAUUUGCAUCCUGCAAUUAUACCAGGAUCUUUUUUUCCUUCCUGGGAGAGACCCACUCUGCUUCCAGCAAGAUACCAUUCCUUCAUGUUUCGUGGAAGUUUCAUGAAGUUUCAUUUAAGUAAUAUAUGGAGCCUACCCAGAGGAAAUGCUGGGCCAUACUUUUUUUUUUUUUUGAUGAACCACGUGUUCCCUGUCACUGUGGGAUACAAAAACUAUGUCUGCACUGAUCAGGGCUAGCACACAGAUCUGUUAGCUUACUUCUUGGCACGGUUUUGCUCUCACCAGUUUGUGUUCUCCUCAAAAAAUGCCCUGGUGCAGUUCAGGGUGUGCUAUGGGCCAAGGACCAUUCCUGGUGCUUUGUCUGGUCCAGCCGUCCUGUGCUGGAGAAUAAGAGAGUUGAUAAUGAGAGUUUUAGCCUUACAGAAACACUGCUCUGGCAGAUGGCCUCAGGGCAGAGGAGCAAUCUCCAGACCAUUUUGUAGUGCAGAUGUAGCCUGAAAGUCACUCUUAGACCUGUUCCAGAGACAACACUGGGUCAGGUUGUUGGGGAGAUGGGACAUAUGUCAGGGCUGGCGUUACCUCACCUCCAGAGCCUCUGGCACUGGGGGAGGGCUGAGGGUGUGCCCCACAUCCAUCCAUGUUUAUUCUGGCCGUAGAACCUUGUUUCAGAUUUCAUUUCAUCACAAAUAAAAUAAAGAGCAAUCCUUGGAUGAUUUAUAAAAAUGUGAACAUUUUAAUCUGUUUCAUUAAAGAUUCGUUCUGCUGCUUAGUGUAAUUCCCUUGUAUUUGCUUUUUAAUCAGUUUCAUGUUAAAUGUAGUUUCCUCACUUUCUGAUUACUUCUAGGAAUUUCAACCAUCUUUUAAGACUUCUCUCUGCUUAUCUAUAUCUAUUUACAACAUUCUUCAACAGAAUAACUUUGAGAUGGCCACCAUACUAUUUCUAUUAAUCUCUUUAAAGCAUCCUCAAAUUCUGUAAGACAUAAACCCCAGCAUUUUGAAAAUAGUUUUUGGUUACAUAUACAGGUAGCAUAAACCAAAGACAUGAUAUAAUAAUUUUACUGUCACUGAUCAGAAAUGGUCUGUGUAAGAGAGUACUUGUGUUUAUUAGUCAACUAUCAGGCAUGUUGAGGUUUCCAGUGAAACCAAUGGCAAAGCAUUCAUCAAUGUUGUUGUCAGCAGGUUUGAGCUCAUUACGCAAUAAACUCAAAUACAGAUUCAUGCUACAUUGCAUUAUAAUAUAAUAACAUAUAUUCAGUAAAGAAUAAUUGGCCAUGAACUCUUCCACAUCUUUUAUAGAAGUAAAAACGUCGUUGCCAAAUGACGCUACAAAUGACAUUAUAUAUUACCGUUACACUAAAAAUAACUUUGUUUCUUCCAGAAGCAUGAUUGAAUUCGAUUCUCCUAGUAGUAUAAGAUUAAAUGAAGCUCAGGCAAUUUCACUCAUUUAUUUGCAGGUGGUGUGCAAUAGAGGAAGGAAACACAGAAAAACUAUAAAAUGAAAAGCAGAGAUUCCAAAAAAUUAUGUGUUUUCAGAAAACCUGUUUUAUUUCAAAGUACAAGUUCCUUUCUCCUGUUAAAAUGUUCUAUUCAAAGACUUCAGACAUUUCUGAACUUGUAAAUUACAGCUCCAAAAGUAUAUAUAGAUUUAAGCUGCUAGUUUAGUUGCAGCACUCUAAGUAUGGUAAUAGGCAGAAAGCCGGGCAUAGCAUUUAGGGACAUUUAUCCUGCAUUUUCAGAAGUAUUGCAAUGUUGUCUUGUGUUGGGAUAUUCCUGACCACACUCUUCAGGUGUUAGUUUCUGUGAGGACCUCAUCCUGAAUCUCAGAGAUAAUGAUUAGAAAUAAACUGUUUAGGUUACUUUAAGGACAUUUAAACAGCGGUUGUAGAGGUCUGUUUUGUACGUGGCUGUGAGUUAAUCCUGAGGGCAAAGUCCUUAUUAAAUCAUUCUUUAUGCACUGAAAUCUUAAGACAUCCAGCAAGAGGUAAGUUUGUUCCAUUCUGGCUGUGAAGUAAUAAACAUACUGUGAAAGAAUCAUUAAUGUUAUUGCUUCUGCAUUCUUCCAAUGGGUCUAGCCUGUUUAUGUAAUAUAUUAUUAGUUAUUAAUGUAGUUAUUAUAUUUACAUUUGGUUACUUAUUAACGUUUACUCAUAAUUUAUACAUUCUGCUUGGAGGUCUUAUUGCACUCUGUAAGCACAGAGGCAGACACGGUCUCUUCCUCAGAGAUCUUACCAGCUAGCCCUGUGUAAACCGCACAAAAGAAAUUACUAAUAUAAUUUCCUCUGGCAUGGUCAUCCACUGGUUGAAGUCAAUAGAAAGAAGCACUUCAGUUUCAGUAUUAACUGGAACAUACUUUGAUGCAUAUCUGUAGUUUUCAUGUGGACAUUAUUACUGCAAUUACACCGGACUGCAUAUAUGAUGGAACAGACUUUCAGCAGAGAAGCAGCUAAUCGUUUGAUGUACUUUCUGAAACCACCAGCUCCGACUUAGAAGCAAGAUGAGAUGUUAAUGUGAAACUUUUAAGGCCAUAUAGCCUUGUUUCAGCUAACUGAACAAUGUUGAUACAUCAAAAGCUAUGAGAGCUACCUGGGCAGCAGUCAGCUGAUUUUCCCAAUUGAGACAAGUAGAGAUUACAUGCCUUCUCAGUUCCAUUUUUGGGGGAGAAGAGCUUGUCAGACAGAUUGCUAUGUGUGACUGAGUAUUGAUGCAAUGGUGCAUGCACAUCUUUCUCUCCAUUAGUUUGCAGUUGGGCAACAGCAGUUCUGGGACAGGAAAAGAAGACUUCUGACAACAGCCUCCAAAGCGGUCCUGAGUAGGUUGAAACAGAAGGCAGAGGGUCAUCAAGGUAAAUGCGCUCUCUUGAACCUUUAUCCUUCCUCACCCCCUCCCGUUAUAUUCUUCUUGUCCUAGUAACAAAUACUUCACAUUUUUUUAAAACCAAAUGGUGUAGGUUUUGCCACAGCUCCUAAGUUGUUCUGAGACCUACAAGUGGUUACUUCAGCGCUGGUUUCAGAGCAUCUUUGCUAUUACAAUGAAAAAGAGAGGGUGAAGGAAAGGGACACAAGGGAUGUGGACCACAGUUGACUACACUUGGGAUUGGCUGUGAAUGGGAGUACCUUAUUAGCAUUUGAAUGACCUGUACUGCUUUGUAAAUGAGACUGAAGAUUGAACUUCAUGUCAAAAGAAAAAAAUAUACAUAUCCUAAAAAGUGGCAGCCUGUGUUUCAUUUUCCCUGCCCCGUAUCCUGUUCUGGGAAAACUUUUCUCCACUUCUGACUCAAUAAAAGCAUAUACACAUUCUGAGCUUUUUUUUUUAUAUAUAUUUUUAUUAUUCACACUUUUGAGGCACAGAGAGGGACCAAUUUAAAGGGCCUAAAAUCUGGGGGGAGUUUUGCUCUGGAAACAAUUAUUUUUGUUGAGAACUAUUGAUGAGGUGAUUACCUAAGAAUUCAGUGGUAGGAAAUUGAAGAGGAGGCAAUUUCUGAGUUUUGAAAGAUCAUCAAUAACAAGUGAAAACAAGUCAGGUUUCUCUGUGGAUUGUUUACACAAGAGUGGUUGUUGAUAAAUGAACUUCAGAUUGGGUAUUAGAGGUACAUAGUGU